UGCCAGCCGCCGCGGUAAUACGAAGGUCCCAAGCGUUGUUCGGAAUCACUGGGCGUAAAGCGUGUGUAGGCUGCGCGGAAAGUCAAAUGUGAAAGCCCGGGGCUCAACCUCGGAACUGCAUUCGACACUCCCGUGCUAGAGUAAUGGAGAGGUAAGUGGAAUUCCUGGUGUAGCAGUGAAAUGCGUAGAGAUUUGGAGGAAUACCAAUGGCGAAGGCAGCCCCCUGGGAUAAUACUGACGCUCAUGCAAGAAAGCGUGGGGAGCAAACAGGAUUAGAUA
rnacentral:rRNA from 1 species